rnacentral:rRNA from 1 species
GUGAGGAAUAUUGGUCAAUGGGCGAGAGCCUGAACCAGCCAAGUCGCGUGAAGGAAGAAGGAUCUAUGGUUCGUAAACUUCUUUUGCAGGGGAAUAAAGUGCAGGACGUGUCCUGUUUUGUAUGUACCCUGAGAAUAAGGAUCGGCUAACUCCGUGCCAGCAGCCGCGGUAAUACGGAGGAUCCGAGCGUUAUCCGGAUUUAUUGGAUUUAAAGGGUGCGUAGGUGGUUUGAUAAGUCAGCGGUGAAAGUUUGCAGCUUAACUGUAAAAAUGCCGUUGAAACUGUCGGACUUGAGUGUAAAUGAGGUAGGCGGAAUGCGUGGUGUAGCGGUGAAAUGCAUAGAUAUCACGCAGAACUCCGAUUGCGAAGGCAGCUUACUAAGCUACAACUGACACUGAAGCACGAAAGCGUGGGGAUCAAACAGGAUUAGAAACCCGAGUAGUCC